rnacentral:rRNA from 1 species
GACGAACGCUGGCGGCGUGCUUAACACAUGCAAGUCGAACGGAAAGGCCUCUUUCGGGGGGUACUCGAGUGGCGAACGGGUGAGUAACACGUGAGUAACCUGCCCUUGACUUUGGGAUAACUUCAGGAAACUGGGGCUAAUACCGGAUAGGAGCUCCUGCUGCAUGGUGGGGGUUGGAAAGUUUCGGCGGUUGGGGAUGGACUCGCGGCUUAUCAGCUUGUUGGUGGGGUAGUGGCUUACCAAGGCUUUGACGGGAAGCCGGCCUGAGAGGGUGACCGGCCACAUUGGGACUGAGAUACGGCCCAGACUCCUACGGGAGGCAGCAGUGGGGAAUAUUGCACAAUGGGUGGAAGCCUGAUGCAGCAACGCCGUGUGCGGGAUGACGGCCUUCGGGUUGUAAACCGCUUUCGCUCAUGACGAAGCUUUGUGUGACGGUAGUGGGUAAAGAAGCACCGGCUAACUACGUG